rnacentral:rRNA from 1 species
GUGAGGAAUAUUGGUCAAUGGGCGGGAGCCUGAACCAGCCAAGUCGCGUGAAGGAAGAAGGAUCUAUGGUUCGUAAACUUCUUUUGCAGGGGAAUAAAGUGCAGGACGUGUCCUGUUUUGUAUGUACCCUGAGAAUAAGGAUCGGCUAACUCCGUGCCAGCAGCCGCGGUAAUACGGAGGAUCCGAGCGUUAUCCGGAUUUAUUGGGUUUAAAGGGUGCGUAGGUGGUUUGAUAAGUCAGCGGUGAAAGUUUGCAGCUUAACUGUAAAAAUGCCGUUGAAACUGUCGGACUUGAGUGUAAAUGAGGUAGGCGGAAUGCGUGGUGGAGCGGUGAAAUGCAUAGAUAUCACGCAGAACUCCGAUUGCGAAGGCAGCUUACUAAGCUACAACUGACACUGAAGCACGAAAGCGUGGGGAUCAAACAGGAUUAGAAACCCUUGUAGUCC